rnacentral:rRNA from 1 species
AUGAAGUCUUUUACCCAGGAAAAAAAUAAUAAGCAAGCUUUCGGGAUGAAACACCGCCACCACGAGGCGGAACCUUGGCAGAACCAAUCUAGGGCUCCGGCGGAGCUGUUCUGCCGGGCAAACAUCCCUCCGGAAGGGGGAAAUCAUCACCAUCGUCAUCUCCAUCGAUCCUCUCAUCGGGAGGGGAUCAAUCUCCUUCAACAUCUUCACCAGCACCAUCUCCUCUCAAACCCUAGUUCAUCUCUUGUAUCCAAUCUUUGCCUCAAAACCUCAGAUUGGUACCUGUGGGUUGCUAGUAGUGUUGAUUACUCCUUGUAG